rnacentral:rRNA from 1 species
UCACGGGAGCUCGCUCUUGGAGAGAGUGCGUGUUGAGCUAGGGAUCGAGCAGAGGGGAAGAGGCGGUGGCGGCGGGCGGGCGGGCGUAGGGUGGGGAAAGGAAGCACAGGACGGGUGGAGGAGGGGAUGGUGACGAGGAGGCGAGGCCGGGCCUGGUAGGAGUACGAAGGCGCCGACAUCAGCGGACGAGAGGUCUGGAACCUCGUGGCGCCUGCACGAUGUUGGUACAACCCCUACUCCGCCUCAUACAGCGCCGCCGCCGCUGCUCGUGGCGCUUGCGCGAUGGAGGAGGCGAAGCCGGGGAGGUGUGGUAGACGGCGGAGGCGGCUGGAAUCACCCGUACGGGACCAGCUCGGGGGGGUUUCAGCCUACUGCCGCGACUCCUCUAGUGCAUUGGGGUCCCGUCCCGCAUCGCUGGCCGCUCCUCGCGGAGUUCCCGCACCGGGGGCUAAGCACCCAGCUGUCGCACCUCCGUUAGCACACACCUGUCCUAUACCGCCACAACGCCGUUCGCUCCUCGCGGUGACGGCAAGCGUGUUCUAGGCGGCAGAGUAGAGACGCUAAACUGGCGGCAGCCGCCAGACGCUAGGUGACAAGUGUAGGCUUGAACGGUCUCGGCGCCACGGGGUACUUGGUGGGCGGAGUUGGUAAAACAAAGGGAAACUACCAUCACUGCUGCUGCCGGUUCUACACCAUCAAGAGACGUACGUCACACCACCGUACCAUCUCUCCCCUUCGUCUACCUUUUGACCGUCGCCGAGAUAGACGUCCCCUAUGGCGUUUCUUGUGCUCGUUUUGUAACUAUCCUCCACUACUCCUGAUACUGGCUUCCGUACAUAUUAUGGAUGUUACUUGACAGUUCCGUACAGAUUAGAUUUGACUUUAUAUACAUUCUGUGUCUUUCGUUCGUUUGUCGGCAGUUCCGUUGCUCGUACGGUACACCACGCACCUCGAUACGGAACACGCAGGACCUGUUUUAGCUGUCAUACGAUUAUAGUGAUGUUGGGUUCGGAUUAGGCAGAUAGACUUAAGUCUAUAUGCUUUCCGUGUUCUUCAUUCAUUUGUUGACAUUCCGUACAAGCACCUCCGGUACACCUCCCUACCGAACACGUCGACCCUCGCUUAACUACGCGCCCUUUUUAACCACUAACUUCCCACCCCACCGAAGGUAUCAAAAGAACAUCAAUAAACAUCACAACAGUGACUCAGCCGGUACUAAGGUAUAAAAUUCAUAUCAACCUGUCAACGUUGAUAAAAAGAAGUAGUGUAGCCUAUGAGCCUUUACAAAAACGAACUUCUCUACUUCAUACGGAAAACAAGUCAGGAUACCUCAAGUGUUUAACUAGGUGUCGAUGCGCUAAAUCUUUGAGUUUCCUCGUAGUUCCAGCUUCUUAAAGAACCUCUACCGAUAUAAGGGAUC